UACGUAGGGCGCAAGCGUUAUCCGGAAUUAUUGGGCGUAAAGAGCUCGUAGGCGGCUUGUCGCGUCUGCCGUGAAAGUCCGGGGCUUAACUCCGGAUCUGCGGUGGGUACGGGCAGACUAGAGUGCAGUAGGGGAGACUGGAAUUCCUGGUGUAGCGGUGAAAUGCGCAGAUAUCAGGAGGAACACCGAUGGCGAAGGCAGGUCUCUGGGCUGUAACUGACGCUGAGGAGCGAAAGCAUGGGGAGCGAACAGG
rnacentral:rRNA from 1 species